AUACGUAGGGUGCGAGCGUUGUCCGGAAUUACUGGGCGUAAAGAGCUCGUAGGUGGUUUGUCGCGUCGUCUGUGAAAUUCCGGGGCUUAACUCCGGGCGUGCAGGCGAUACGGGCAUAACUUGAGUACUGUAGGGGAGACUGGAAUUCCUGGUGUAGCGGUGAAAUGCGCAGAUAUCAGGAGGAACACCGGUGGCGAAGGCGGGUCUCUGGGCCAUAAGUGUCGCGGAGGAGCGAAAGCAUGGGUAGCGAACAGGUUUAGACACCCGGGGAGUCCAUGCCGUAAACGGUGGGCGCUAGGUGUAGGGGUCUUCCACGACUUCUGUGCCGUAGCUAACGCAUUAAGCGCCCCGCCUGGGGAGUACGGCCGCAAGGCUAAAACUCACAGGAAUUGACGGGU
rnacentral:rRNA from 1 species